rnacentral:rRNA from 1 species
AAUGAACGCGUGGCGGCGUGCCUAACACAUGCAAGUCGGAUGUGCCGCAAGGUGCAUGGCAGACGGGUGAGUAACGCGUGGGGAACCUACCUCUUUGUGGGAAUAACGUUCCGAAAGGAAUGGUAAUACCGCAUGAGACCGUUGGCUGGGAUGCUGACGGUGAAACCCGGGGACCGCAAGGCCUGGGGCAAGGAGAGGGUCCUGCGUCUGAUUAGCUAGUUGGUGGGGUAACGGCCUACCAAGGCGUCGAUCAGUAGCCGGCCUGAGAGGGUGAUCGGCCACACUGGAACUGAGACACGGUCCAGACUCCUACGGGAGGCAGCAGUGGGGAAUUUUGCGCAAUGGGUGAAAGCCUGACGCAGCAACGCCGCGUGGGUGAUGAAGGUCUUCGGAUCGUAAAACCCUGUCGUCAGGGACGAAGGUUGUAUGCCUAACAGGUGUGCAGCUUGACGGUACCUGGAGAGGAAGCCCCGGCUAACUCUGUG